rnacentral:lncRNA from 1 species
ACUUUAUAGGGUAUCUUAAGAAAACCAUAAAAAACUACUUCUAUCUUCCUAAGGAUCACAAAAUGAUUAUGAGCCAUCAUGUCGUCUUCUUAGAAAAAGAAUUUAUUCAAGAUGGAGGCCGUGGGAGGAAGAUUGAGCUCAAAGAAAAAAAUCUCUGAAGAGCAUCGAGUCCAAGAACCUGAAUCUAGUAAUGAGCCAGUAGAUGUGAUACCUCUUCCA